UGCAGGAUAGAACAACGGCUAGUUUUCGGGGGUCUUCGCCCCGCGACGCGGGUUCGACUCCCGCUCCUGCACCCA
rnacentral:tRNA from 1 species